AUUGAACGCUGGCGGCAGGCUUAACACAUGCAAGUCGAGCGGGGAAGGUUGCUUCGGUAACUGACCUAGCGGCGGACGGGUGAGUAAUGCUUAGGAAUCUGCCUAUUAGUGGGGGACAACGUUCCGAAAGGAACGCUAAUACCGCAUACGCCCUACGGGGGAAAGCAGGGGAUCUUCGGACCUUGCGCUAAUAGAUGAGCCUAAGUCGGAUUAGCUAGUUGGUGGGGUAAAGGCCUACCAAGGCGACGACCUGUAGCGGGUCUGAGAGGAUGAUCCGCCACACUGGGACUGAGACACGGCCCAGACUCCUACGGGAGGCAGCAGUGGGGAAUAUUGGACAAUGGGCGGAAGCCUGAUCCAGCCAUGCCGCGUGUGUGAAGAAGGCCUUUUGGUUGUAAAGCACUUUAAGCGAGGAGGAGGCUCCUUUAGUUAAUACCUAAAGAGAGUGGACGUUACUCGCAGAAUAAGCACCGGCUAACUCUGUGCCAGCCGCCGCAGUAAAAC
rnacentral:rRNA from 1 species